CUCACCCAUUCCCACCUCUGCUGCAAGUUUCACCCCAACACAUUAUAAGAGACAAGCAACAUUCACCACCAAUCCAAGGUCCAGGCGGGAAGUGAUAGCUAAAGAGGGAAGUAACUCUACGCUCGUUGUGGGAACGAAUAAGGUUGAGCAGGUGAUGGAAUGGAGUGGAGUUGAGCGGAUGUACCUUUUGACAUAAAAUAAUAAUGUAACCUUGAGUAUACAUCUUCAUAUGUAUAACUCACACGUAUUUCCGCUGCAAGAUACUCUGAUUAUGCUAAUGUUUUAUAUUAAGUAUGAUACUCUUUUGUUGGGUAAUCCACUUCGACGAGCCUUCCCAAACGAACGUCUUGUUUUUGUCCAAGUGAUCAGUUAUGAUCCUAGUGUUAUAUAAUAAAUGUCUCUUUUCGUAAAAUGUUUGAUUGUUAAGUAAAUGCCCCUUUCUUUCCCCGCUUCU